rnacentral:tRNA from 1 species
GGGGGUAUAGCUCCAUGGUAGAGCAUAUUCUUAGCAUGAACAAGGCCCUAGGUUUGAACCCCAGCACCUUAA